rnacentral:lncRNA from 1 species
UACAGCAUUAUAGCCCCAGGCACAUAACUAACUAGCACUGGCUUGCCAAGGAAUGAACAUGCCAUGCCAUUACUAGCUAUUGAGGGAAAAGGGUCUGUGUGAAGCAUCACUUUGCAGGGAUUACUAAUGGUGGGGCAGCAGGUCUGUGAAUUAAGUUAUCUCUUGACCUCACCCUCAUGUCAACACAAAUGUAAUUCCUAAACAAGAUGCAUUGCCAG